GCCUCUUGUUGGCGCAGUUGGCAGCGUGUCAGUCUUGUAAUCUGAAGGUUGUGAGUUCAACCCUCACACGGGGCA